GAUUUAUUUAUCUUAAUAUAUAUAUAUAUAUAUAAUAGUUAACGUGGUAUAGUUAUUAUUUUAAGGUUAAAUGGUAAUGAAAUGUUAUUCGAUUUAUAUGGUAGCUAGUUUAUUUAUUAUAUACAUUUUAGUGUUAUUUAAGAUUAAUUAUAUUUAGUAGUUAGUUUUGAUUUAAUUAUUAAGGGAUAAGCUUUAAUUUAUUUAUUGUGAGAAUAAUUUAUAAUUUUUAUAAAUAGUUGAGGUUGGAUUAAUAUUCUUUCUUUAUAUUAUUAUAUUAAUAUUUGUAUUUGUUUUAAUUCUUUAUAUUAUAUUAAAUAAAUUUUUUAUUAUUAAUUUUAAAAUUAAAUAUAAUGUUAUAAUGAGUAUUAUAUAUAGUUUAAAUAUAUAUUCGUAAAUUUUUGUAAAGUUUAGAUUUUUUUGUUUAUAUAUUUAUAUAUUAUUUAAGUGAGUUAAAGGAAUUCGGCAAAUAUUAAUUUCGCCUGUUUAUCAAAAACAUGUCUCUUUGAUAGUUUUUAAUAGAGAG
rnacentral:rRNA from 1 species